rnacentral:rRNA from 1 species
GACGAACGCUGGCGGCGUGCCUAACACAUGCAAGUGGAGCGACGAACCAGGGCUUGCCCUGGGGCCAAGCCGCGAACGGGUGAGUAACACGUGGGUAACCUGCCCCGAUGACCGGGACAACCCGAGGAAACUCGGGCUAAUACCGGAUGUGGUGUACACACAACAAGUGUGUCUACUAAAGGAAGCUUCGGCCUCCGCAUUGGGAUGGGCCCGCGGCCCAUUAGCUAGUUGGUGGGGUAAAGGCCUACCAAGGCAACGAUGGGUAGCUGGUCUGAGAGGACGAUCAGCCACACUGGGACUGAGACACGGCCCA